rnacentral:hammerhead_ribozyme from 1 species
AGUAUGCUGACGAGUCCCAAAUAGGACGAAACGCGCGUCCUGGAU